rnacentral:tRNA from 1 species
AGUGCUGUGGCUUAGUGGGUUAAGCUGCUGCCUGCAGGGCUGUCAUCCCAUAUGGGCGCCGGUUCAAGUCCGAGCAGCUCUA